rnacentral:ncRNA from 1 species
GAAAGCGCCGGUGCCGCGCGAAAAGCGCGGCGGACGAGGUGAGGGAAGCAUCGAAAGGUUCGGCGGAUGUCCCUCCGGCGGGCCCUGCCCGUCGUCAGGCGGCCUACAAAUAUGCGGGCGACCGCAAAACAAAGGGG